GGGGGGAGCACCGGAUCCUGGGCUGUGACCCCGGCCCCCUGGGAUCCAUGGCCUGCAAUGCUGGAAUCAUGCUCCCGCCGGGGCAGCCCCCU
rnacentral:pre_miRNA from 1 species